rnacentral:lncRNA from 12 species
AGACCUCAAGAAGGUCUUGUGCUUCCAUUCCUGCUUUUGUACCCUGUCCAUGUGAAUACAUUGGGUUAGUUAGCUAGGGGAUGCGAGAGAUCACAUAGAGGCAAGGAGCCAUCUCACCUGAGGCCACCUUAGAGCAGCCACCUUCUGGCUCACCUGGUUGCUACAGAGCCAUAAAGCAGCGCACAUUCAGGUAAGGAGAGUAACUAUUUCUUGGUGCAAAGUCAUAAAAUUGCAAAGUCAUAUUGCAAAAGGGUGAGGCUACAGAGAGAGGUGGAGGAUUGCAGUUAUUUUCCAUCAUCUAGCACACUCAUUGCAUGGGGCUUCUGUACAUAUUAAACAAUUAAAUACAUGUGAUAUAUUUAGAACAAGGUCUGGCACUGAAUAAAUGCCUAAUAGCAAUGAUUAUUGCUAUUUCUAAAAUGAUUGCAAAAUGUGUAGGUAGCCUAAUUAAUGCCACCAUGCCUCUUACUUUAAGGAACUGAUACUGACAGUUCUCACCAAACUGUGGUUCAAUCAAAUAGUACACAUAGAAACUUAAGUGAGAGAAAAUGCAAUCAAAUCACAUAUUGAGUGUUAAUUUACCCCUAUCUUUUUUUUCCUGAAUGGAAUAAGCACCUCCUACCCCCAGAAAAAAAAAAAAAAGUAUAUGUUGCCCUUUCAAUUUAGGCUUGACCAAAGGUUUCAAUGGUAAAGAUGACUCAUACCUUAAAGAACUGGAAGAAUUUUUUUAUUGCUUUCUCAAUCCAUUGUGUUGCUCUUAUGAAACUGCUGAAUGACACCAGGGAAUAUAAAAUCCAUCAAAGACAUAAGCACUGAAUGACAUGUGGCAGGGUUUCCAACUCAUCAGGAAAAACUUCAGAUCAACUUGUUUCUCUGGAGAAAACUCACAUCCGGGGCUGUUCCUGUUCCCUGGGACUCAUAAAGCUCCUAUCUCCAGGGCACAGAUACAUAAACUUAAGAGUCUCACCUUAUGUGUCACAAGACUGAUCUUCAGAAACCUGCGGUAGCAUACUGCAAGGAGCACAACAAGGACAGAAGAAACCUCCAUUCUCCAGGUUUAUAGUUCAGUGCUGUCUCUGCUUUAUCAUGUAGACUCUCUUGAAGCUAAUUAUUUAGAAUUGAAUUUUAUUUGGAAGAGGACUAUAAAAUGCCCCCCCUUAAAAGAAACCUGUUAUAUACCGAAAGAAGCAUUGACAGUGAGAAAAACUGAAUCUGUGAUUUAUCUGUGACUUGUUUCUUUUCCUACUGAUGUCACAUAGGCCACCCUGCCUAGCAUGGCAGAGUGGCCCUGUCUUCCUGCCACCACUUCUCUCAGUGACAAAUGAGGGCACAAAAGACAAGAACAAACUAUCUGAUUUCUUAUAGCCCAUUGUCAGGAUUCUGGGGAGAAAAUGGAGGACUGAAAUAAAUUUCUUCUAAUUGUAGGGAUGGUAGAUUCA